AGCUUUAUAUUCAUUAGGUGAUUAUAGAAUGCAAUUCUAUAGGGGUAGUUUUGCUACUAAGGCUU